rnacentral:rRNA from 1 species
CCUACGGGUGGCAGCAGUAGGGAAUAUUGCUCAAUGGGGGCAACCCUGAAGCAGCAACGCCGCGUGAAGGAUGAAGGUUUUCGGGUUGUAAACUCCUUUUUUUAGAGAAGAUAAUGACGGUAUCUAACGAAUAAUCACCGGCUAACUCCGUGCCAGCAGCCGCGGUAAUACGGAGGGUGCAAGCGUUACUCGGAGUCACUGGGCGUAAAGAGCGCGUAGGCGGGAUAGCAAGUCAGAUGUGAAGUCCUAUGGCUUAACCAUAGAACUGCAUUUGAAACUGUUAUUCUAGAGUACAGGAGAGGUAGGUGGAAUUCGUGGUGUAGGGGUAAAAUCCGUAGAGAUCAAGAGGAAUACUGAUUGCGAAGGCGGCCUGCUAGACCAUAACUGACGCUGAUGCGCGAAAGCGUGGGGAGCAAACAGGAUUAGAUACCCCGGUAGUC